rnacentral:lncRNA from 1 species
CUUAAGUUGGUGGCAUUUGGUUGCCUUUCCUGGGGAGAGGCGGCAGGUGCUCAGCUCUGCAGACGUGGGGGCAAGAGAAGGCCCAAGCUGCCUCGAGAAGAGCAGAGGUGCCCCAUGGGGACCAUGAUGACCGGUCGCAUGUGCCAAAGCCAGCCCCCGGCAGGGCCAGCGCAGGGUUUCUGCGGGGCCGUCCUGUGGCUCUGAUAUCUAUGAGUGGGUGGCCAGCAAAGGCACAGGCACCAGCAGAAAGGAGCAGAGAUGCCCAGAACAUGCUGUCCCCCAAUGCCAGCCCCAAGCGAGGCCAGCUUAGGGUGCGGUGGGCAGAGCCAUCCUGCAGCUCUGAGAUCCACGAAGUGGAGGUGGGAGUAGCGCCAGGCUCCACGGCGUUGGAGCUCUCACAACUUGAGCUCAAUUUUAUUCCGGAGCCAUGACCUGCAGCACAUUGGUGACCAGAAGACGCCCAAAGGGUUUCCCAGAGGAAGAGAGAGAAUUUGGACAAAUGAAUGAGGAACAACGCUCUCCUGAGGGUUUUCUUUAAGGGGCGAGGAUCACUGCCGCUAGCUCCUUUGAAAGCAAAGUUAAGAGGCAGCGCAGGAAGGCACAGCAGGAAGGCUCAUGGUUAGACUACAGAGAAGGAAGCAGCCACUGCUGGGGACCUACCCUGUGCUGGUCACUGACAAGCUGUCUCAUUAAACCUUCCCGGACCCUCAACCCCUCCUAGUAUCUUAUCCUCAUUUUACAGAUGAGAAGACUGCGGCCAAGAGAGGUCCAAUGCCAGUGGGAUCAGCUUCGAUGGGAUGCGCACAGACUGACCUCUUCUCCCCAGCCCCUUCAACUUCCCAGAGCUGCAGGGGGCCUGGGAGUUCUUGGUAACAGCACAUUAAACCUCUGUUUGUGGGAACUUUAAUUUAAACACAAAUUAGAGAAGGCAAAUGACUCUGGCAGCCAGAUAAGCCAUCCCAGGAAAACAAGGAGAAAGCCAAGAGAAUCAGCCCAGAUAAGGUCUGACUUUAAACUACUGCUGAUACCCAGAAGCCUGGGACAGAUGAAAUCUAGGGGUCCUGAAUGAAGAACCCCAGAAGCUCCACACCCCAGUUGUCCUUGCUCUGGGCUCUAUGCCAGCUCCCUUUCCUGUGUUCUCUAUAUUUCUAUCUUUUUGCAAAAUUUUAUCCUGAUUCUUUGGCUCCAUCCCUCCCACCCCCACCCUACUGUUUUAGAGAAUGCACUUUCUUUACUUUGCUUCUCAUCUUCUUCUGUGACCUACUAUUCUGAGAAAGUUCUACUUGUUAUCUAACCUCCAUCUAUGCUACUACCUUUAGAGUCUAAUACAUCCUGCUUAGUGAUAACUCUGGGAGUUUCUGUUCAUGUGGCAAAUGUGGUGUAGUAAAAACAACCUGAAAAAGACCUGGGUGAACUUCUCUGCAUCUCAGUUUCCUCAUCUGUAUGAUGAGCGUGUGAGAAAGAAUCUCUAAGGACUUGUAAACUCUGACUUCUCACAGAGAAUCUGAGGACAAGGACAUCCAAGGAAAUCUCUAUUGUUCUGGAACCCAUGAAUUUUCCACUGUUCUACUGUUUGGGAGUGAGCGUGGGGAGAGCAGUCC